UUCCAGACUCCUACGGGAGGCAGCAGUGGGGAAUAUUGCACAAUGGGCGAAAGUCUGAUGCAGCAACGCCGCGUGAAGGAAGAAGGGUUUCGGCUCGUAAACUUCUAUCAACAGGGACGAAAGAAAUGACGGCACCUGAAUAAGAAGCCCCGGCUAACUACGUGCCAGCAGCCGCGGUAAUACGGAGGGUGCAAGCGUUGUCCGGAAUCAUUGGGCGUAAAGAGUUCGUAGGCGGCAUGUAAAGUCAGGUGUUAAAGGCGCAGGCUCAACCUGUGUAUGGCACUUGAUACUUGCAAGCUGGAAUGCGGUAGAGGUAAAGGGAAUUCCUGGUGUAGCGGUGAAAUGCUUAGAUAUCAGGAGGGACAUCGGUGGCGUAAGCGCUUUACUGGGCCGUAAUUGACGCUGAGGAACGAAAGCCAGGGUAGCAAAUGGGAUUAGAUACCCCUGUAAG
rnacentral:rRNA from 1 species